UACGUAGGUGGCAAGCGUUGUCCGGAUUUACUGGGUGUAAAGGGCGUGUAGGCGGGACAGCAGGUCAGAUGUGAAAUCCCCGGGCUCAACUCGGGAGCUGCAUUUGAAACCUCUGUUCUUGAGUGUCGGAGAGGGAAGCGGAAUUCCUAGUGUAGCGGUGAAAUGCGUAGAUAUUAGGAGGAACACCAGUGGCGAAGGCGGCUUUCUGGACGAUAACUGACGCUGAGGCGCGAAAGCGUGGGGAGCAAACAGG
rnacentral:rRNA from 1 species